AUGGCAGCAGCUAGGGCAGUUCUUGAAAAGUGUACGAUGAUGCUCCUUACAGCUUCAAAGACAUGUCUGAGGCAUCCCAACUGCGAAUCAGCCCAUAAAAACAAAGAAGGAGUAUUUGACCGCAUGAAAGUGGCAUUGGAUAAGGUCAUUGAAAUUGUGACUGACUGUAAACCGAAUGGAGAGACUGACAUUUCAUCUGUCAGUAUUUUUACUGGAAUUAAGGAAUUCAAGAUGAAUAUUGAAGCUCUUCGGGAGAAUCUUUAUUUUCAGUCCAAAGAGAAUCUUUCUGUGACAUUGGAAGUCAUCUUGGAGCGUACAGAGGACUUCACUGAUUCUGCCUACACCAGCCAUGAGCACAGGGAACGCAUCUUGGAACUGUCAACUCAGGCGAGAAUGGAACUGCAGCAGUUAAUUUCUGUGUGGAUUCAAGCUGUAAGAACUUUUUUAAAAAUCAAAGUAAAUCUUAUAUAAUGGCUUUCCCAUAAAGUUUUGCAAGAUGUGGAAGCUAACAUAAUCACCAGGAGUAUGAAUUUGUUCCAGAAUAGGACAGGAUGUCUCAUCCCUUUUCUCCCUCCUAGUUGGCCAAAAUAUCCUUCCCAUCUAGCACUCACAGUACUUGACAUUUAUUUCCAGGCCUGUUGACUCUCAUUCUAGCCAGUCUGAAUUCUGUGCCUUUGUCACUAUCACUAGUUUACUCUGUUGUCCCCACUCUUUCACCAAACUCACCUCUGGAAAAUUCCUCCCCAAAAUGCUUCUUCAGAGUGAAGAACAGAGGAGUAGACCCCCAUCUAGAAGUUCUUGGGACCUGAGCCUGACUGCUGGAGCCAUUCAGAUGUACACAGUUCUUACCUCUGAGGACAGCUGAUUUACAGACACAAUGAUUUGGAAAACUUAUUGGGGUGUAGAUUCAAUGAAAACAAGGGUAGAUCCAGCUGGCAAGUAAAAGCUUUUCACCCUUGCACAAAUUCCUGGUCUAAAAUUGGUGGGCGGCCACUCUAUGAGCCUUAAAUGGGCUGUUGGUGUGCUUCAAGCAGAGGAGCUUAUUUGGGCAAGAAUGAACGGCCAAGACUGAUGGAAAUGGGACAGCAUAAGAAGUGUGUACACAGUCUCUUAUAGCAGGUGGAUUGCAAAAUGGAGAGACAGAGCCCUGGGAUAUGUCUCUAGGAUUAUUUAUUUCUUAGGCCCAGGCUCUGUCAAAAAAGUAUUUAACAUGGCUUACAAUAUACAGCAGCCAUAGUACAAAUCUGAAAGUCAUGAACAAAGCUUUGGCAGUAAAGAUGAUGAAGGAGGGUGGAUAUGGCUGAGACUGAAUUAAGAAGCAGCAGUUGAUUUCCUUGUAAAUAGAUUAAUUUAUGAAUGAACAUAGAUAUGAAUCACAGAUUUCUCAGAUAUUUUCUUGGCAUCACAGUAGUGCACAUAUUCUUAUUAACACGGAAUCUUGCCCUAAAGUAGAGUGGUGUGAGAGACUUGAGCAUUGUUUUGUGUUUAGUUUGAAUUAUCUGUGUGAUACACAAUCUGAAGUGUAGA
rnacentral:lncRNA from 1 species